AGGAGACGGUUCGUCUCGAGACGGUCUCAGCGUCUCCCAUUUUCUUCGGGAGACACUGCGACCGUCUCAUUUUUCCAACAACAACAACAGACAACAAAGUUCGUCUCAUAACAAAAAUCGCCGUUCAUGUUGCCUAGUGUGGACUAGGCUUAAGCGAGUCGGGUACUGCUACGCCUUCAAAUCAUCCAUCAUGUUCCGGUGUUGUUUUGGAUAAGGAGGAAAUGGAACAAAAUUUUCCUGCUCUAAUGACGCCGCAUGGUGAGAAACAAAUUAGCCAGAAGUCCCGGGAUGUCACCACAUAGUGCUUGCCCUUGCUGUUCCUAGCCUAACGGUGUGAUGUCGCGAACGGAGUAAUCUGACUGAAGCACAACAAUGUGACCAGGCAGAUGGUUGGAUUUUGGAGCAAGCAGGGUUCGUUCCGGUGUUGCCAGACCGGAAACUUCCGGCAUAGAUGUGUCGAAUGUUGCUCAAUUCAAAGUGGAUCUAGUAACACCCCGUCCCGUCGAAAAUCCGGUUGGUGUGGAGUUGAUUUCAUGCCGCCAGAAAAUAAAAAAGAUCCCCUUUUGUGAUCCGUCACCACUACGGAACUGCCUAGUUAAGUGUUACGAAGAAUCCAAAGCUAUACCUUUGGGUAGAAUAGAAAUAACUUCGGAUUGUACGAUCUUGAUUCGGUCGCGCAGUACACUAGAUUUUGGUACAAUCGCCCCCAAGUAUUUUUGGAAGUGCUUUCCGACGACGAAGCCGCAGUUGGGGGUGGACGAAUUCCGCAUGUACCAAACAUUGCAGCGUUUCCAGAUAGCCUAGCUUAUGCCAUUCGAGGGUCAUGCGGGGUAGCAUGAAAUAAUACCAGAUCGUGGAAAAUACAUAUACCCCGAGUUUCAUAAAGGCGGACCCAUUCACAAAAAUCUGACAACAGUAAAAAAAAAACGAACUCAUGAAGGCAGUUAUGCCUUCUAGGACCCGUCACAUUGGCAUUAGCAUCAGCAAAAAAUCGAUAAUGUUGGCCGUGAUCGAUUGGAUUAGGUGAGGAAUGGCGUGACUGCUACUCAAAUGAGAUAUCACACUUUGUUGGCAUCGAUCCGAUACUGUAAGUAGGCAGCCUUCUUCUGGUGGAAACUUACCAAGGGAGUUGCUGACUACCAGUAGAAUAAUGGCCAAGUGUACAUAGGUGAUCGGAUGUUGCCCUCUAUAGAUUAAUCUCGGCGAUAUCUUGUAACGAGCAAUGUCCAGCAUUGAAAUGCUAAAAACAGCUAACUUUUUAAACAGAAAUGUAAUUUCUGAUUCUGCCGAUGAUCAGCUGACCGGUGAUACAGUUAAACAUUCUCAUUCUCCUCGAUAUCAGCACGAGAGAAGCUGGAUCAAGGCCAUCAGUUUAUAAGGCCAGUACAAUCAUAAUUGUCGCAAUUUAGGGACGAAUGCCCCAUGUGUUAAAAUCCUUUAUGAAAAAAAUGUCGUAAUUAGAAUGUUGGUUGAGAUCGGUCAACAUAUGGGAGUGUUAACUGUUGUGGCAAUUAAUCAUCGGCAUUCCGUUACAUCUCAAAUAAUUUAAUGAGGCGUUAAUUGCACCAUUGAGUAAUCUGGUACUGACUGCUACUUUACAACACUGUGGAGUUAAGCUACCAUCAAAACGAACUUCUCAAAGUAGUACCAACAAACGGUUAUGCAUGUGUGAUCCCGUGGCAUGUGAAACUGUUCAAAGUUAUAAUUUUACUAAGCAAUUAUUUAUUGAUUAUACAAAUUAAAUACUGUCGUUCUAUUUAAGAUGUUUUUUGACCUACCGGGCAACAACGAACGGAUUAACCUAACCAAGGAAAUUAAUGCCGGAAUCAUCAUGUUCAAAAAAUGCUUAUCCAGUCGUGGAACGACACGAUUAGUGACACCGUACUAGUGACGCUGUGCGCAUUAUACUCUCUGGUUGGUGAAUUAAUUUUUUUUUUCUAUUUAAUACUAAUGUUUGGAUGAAAAUCUAAAAUUGGCCGUGCUUGCAAGUCAAACGUACAUUUUUUAGCAUCUGAUAAGCUAUGAAGGGAUGAAAGCUGUUUCAAACUACGAAGCUUGGUAGGAAACGAAAAAGCCGAACUACGUUCUCGUGACUAACAACGUUUUGGAUUAAUCAUUUCUCGGAGAUGCUUCUCCGUUAAUGGAAAUUUCGGCAUACCGGGACAUUCGGCCACGGACUGUCGUACCGUUUCCACCGUUUCAUUCAUACGAUUUAAGGUUAAUGAAACCUUCCAUGAAAUUGCACUACCUAGAGAAACACGACGGGUGUGUCGAUAGAUCGAACAUUGCCGCAGACACAGCUGGCCAGUGGACCCGAUGAUCUCGAUAUCAGCCUUUAGAACUGGCAGAAAAACAAACAAGUUAAAAUCAUGGCGGCUUCAUCUGCUUCAACAAGUACUACAUUGUACUAUAUACAAUAUAGCAAAAUUUCAUCCAGCUCAACUAGGAGAUGCAACAUCUAUCUGGAAUUCCCUUAGGUGAAGUCAUCAAGUAAUAAGUCUUCUAAUGAUGCUAACAGUUAACUGUUGUACCGGUGGUGAACAUGAACACGAUGAUGUUUUUGCCUGCUGGAAAUAAGGUUGGCAAAAGGCGCAUCUUGGCCCGUCGAGAAUCGUCGAGCGAAAACUCAUAAUCUGCAAUCUUCCGUGGCUUCCUGGUGGAAGAAAACAAAUGUGGCAAAGAGGUUAAUCCACCGAUAAAACUUCGGAAAAGCAAUUAAUUGUGGUGUGGAGCCCCGAGACAAUUGCUAAGCAAUGACAAAUUGCAACUUAACAUAAAAUAUUUUCUGGCUAGGAAAAAUGUACAUUCUACAAUAAUAAGGCAGGAAGUGCAUUUUCGUUUACUUAUAUUUCAGGCAUCAUUAGAUUUGUAUGAUUCAAGAAUCGCUAAGAAGAACAGCAGGGCUAGGCAGUUCAAUUGAGACAAAUAUAUUCAGGCAGAAGGGCAAAGAUUCAGGAUUUGUCAACAGCAAUUCUUUAUUACCAAACAAAUGAUUUGAAUUACUUCCGAAUUAGCUUUAAAUAUUGGUAUACUACUUACAA